GCAUGUAGCUCAAUGGUAGAGCACUUGCCUAGUUCUAGCAUGCUUAAGGUCUUGGGUUCAAUCCUCAGCACUGCA
rnacentral:tRNA from 1 species